rnacentral:rRNA from 1 species
GACGAACGCUGGCGGCGUGCCUAAUACAUACAAGUCGAACGCAGUGGGGACGGGUGAGUAACACGUGGGUAACCUCCCAUCAGAGGGGAUAACACUUGGAAACAGGUGCUAAACCGAUACUGAUGGAUGGACCCGCGGUGCAUUAGCUAGUUGGUGAGGUAACGGCUCACCAGGGCCACGAUGCAUAGCGGACCUGAGAGGUGGAUCGGAACUGUGGGACUGGGACACGGCCCAGACUCCGACGGGAGGCAGCAGGAGGGAAUCUUCGGCAAUGGACGAAAGUCUGACCGAGCAACGCCGGGUGAGUGAAGAAGGUUUUAGGAUCGUAAAACUCUUUUGUGAGAGAAGCGGUAUCUAACCAGAAAGCCACGGCUAACUACGUGCCAGCAGCCGCGGUAAUAC